GUCAGGAGACAGAAGCAUCAUGAGAUGAACCAGUCCAGCCUACAGGGAGCCUUUGGGUUGGACUCUUACUAGGUGGAUUCUUUACCGCUGAGCCACCUGGGAGGUCCUGACUGUUCCAGAGAACCAGGUUUCCUUUCUAUCACUUUCUGCUUUACCCUUGGGGAACUUCUCUACAUCCUCAAAUAAAAGGGAUGAGAAUUGUACUGGAAGUGGCAGACUGAUGACCAUAAAAGGGACCCAACAUUAGAUCAUGAUUGUAAAAGUGAGGCUGUUAGGAAUCCAGCAUUCUGUGACACUGACCAGACUUAUCAGCUUAAGCCACGUGGAUUUAAACCUCUGGCUGCCACGGGAGAAGGGAAGAGGUGAGCCUGUGGCCGCGCUCAGAAUCUGUGACCGUCACGCUGCUCAAAAUCCCCCAUCCCUAGGAGCCCGAGGAAAGUCACUCAUAACUUUUGUUUCAGUUGGGGAAGAUGAAUAAUGAUACCUUCCUUACGGACACAUUGUGGCCUAAUUAAAUAUUUCAAAAGUAUUCCUAUGACCCCCAGAUAAAUGACACUGAGUAAA